UAGGGAAUCUUCCGCAAUGGGCGAAAGCCUGACGGAGCAACGCCGCGUGAGUGAUGAAGGUCUUCGGAUCGUAAAACUCUGUUAUUAGGGAAGAACAAAUGUGUAAGUAACUAUGCACGUCUUGACGGUACCUAAUCAGAAAGCCACGGCUAACUACGUGCCAGCAGCCGCGGUAAUACGUAGGUGGCAAGCGUUAUCCGGAAUUAUUGGGCGUAAAGCGCGCGUAGGCGGUUUUUUAAGUCUGAUGUGAAAGCCCACGGCUCAACCGUGGAGGGUCAUUGGAACCUGGAAAACUUGAGUGCAGAAGAGGAAAGUGGAAUUCCAUGUGUAGCGGUGAAAUGCGCAGAGAUAUGGAGGAAAACCAGUGGCGAAGGCGACUUUCUGGUCUGUAACUGACGCUGAUGUGCGAAAGCGUGGGGAUCAAACAGG
rnacentral:rRNA from 1 species